AUUUGCCCUUUCUCACCUGCCUUUGUGAUGUCACAAUGCAGCCGGGCUAAUUAACUUCCUAGCAGUGUUGUGUCAUCCCAUUCACUGUUUGUGAUUCGAAAUUGGCUGCUAUUACCCCUGAGAUUAAAGCAAAACAGAGAUUGAAGCAACAGUUGGAGAAGAAAACAUCAGUAAAAUAGCACCAUCCCAGGGAAUCAAUUUUUCCUUUUUUUUCCUUUUUUUUUAAGAAAGUAGGGGAGGAAAGCAAACUUGACAUUUUGAUUGGAGGAACAAAAGAGAGAUGGAAAAUCACAUUUUAUGAGACCCCACCCCCACCCCCUCCCCCAAAUCCAAGCUGCAUUAGAUGGAAAGAGAAAUCCAAUCAAGCUUCUCUUGAAUCCAACUUGAUUCUUGGGUGCCUUUGUGAACAUGUCCAUGUGUUGUUUCCUUGGCUACAACAAGUAAACAGUUUGCUUAAAAGUUA